AGUAGUACUAGUAGUAGAAGUAAUAGUAGUAACUUUCAAAGCAAUGUCUACAAGUUUAAAUUCUUUAACCCUGUUCAAGGUGUAUACACACUCAAUAUUUAACUACAGUCCAGGUUUGCAAUUAACAAACUAUCUGAUAAACCUGUGUGUGAGUCAGAUAUGUCUGCUGCUAAUCUAUUGGUUAUAAAAUAUCACAGCCUUUUCUGAUUGGCUGAGUUCAAAUACAGAAAGUUUACCUGUUAGAUUGAAAUUCUGGCGUAUUGUAGAAAACUUGCAGGUUAAACUUGUUGUUAAAAUGAAGUUAAUGUAAUGUUCACAAACAGUAGAAUUAAUGAGUUUUUCCAUUAACAAGAAUUUCUUAAAAUAAUAAUGUAUGGAUAUCAUUUGGAAAGUGACAUGAAAUGUUGUUAAAAAGUGAUGCAUACAAGUGUUUCAGAAGUCUGUCUAGGAAUAGAACAACAACUGAAGCUGACCAGUUGAUGGAAGAUACUGCAGAGUUUGGCAGGGAAAUAACCCAAGACAGCAAAGCGGCUCUUUUGGCGCAUUUACCAAGAGGACUAACAUGGCCACAAAUUCAUGAGAUCAUGCAGGAGCCGUACAGUAUAACAGCAGUACAAGUUCUAUAAAAGAUCCACGACCUACUGAAGCCCAGCUAAUUAACAAAAAAGUUUUUAAAAACUGUAAUUUUAUCCCACCUGGGUACUUAUAAUUUACUAAGCUGCCUUCACAAGUUUUAGACUUGCAAUUAUAUUUUAAACUGUCACUUGGAAAGUAAUACAUGUACAUGCAUUAUGUUCUGAAUUUCUU